rnacentral:rRNA from 1 species
UACGGAGGGUGCAAGCGUUGCUCGGAAUUAUUGGGCGUAAAGGGUAGGUAGGUGGUCUUAUUUGUCUGAGGUGAAACCCUUGAGCUUAACUCGAGAAGUGCCUCAGAAACGGUGAGACUAGAGUCCUGGAGAGGGUCGUGGAAUUCCCGGUGUAGCGGUGAAAUGCGUAGAGAUCGGAAAGAACACCAACGGCGAAAGCACUCUGCUGGGCCGACACUGACACUGAGAGACGAAAGCUAGGGGGAGCGAAUGGG